rnacentral:rRNA from 1 species
AUCCGGAGGGUGCAAGCGUUACUCGGAAUCACUGGGCGUAAAGCGCGCGCAGGCGGGCUGAUAAGUUGGAUGUGAAAGCCUACGGCUCAACCGUAGAACUGCAUCCAAAACUGUCAGUCUAGAGUCUGGGAGGGGAAGAUGGAAUUAGUUGUGUAGGGGUAAAAUCCGUAGAGAUAACUAGGAAUACCAAAAGCGAAGGCGAUCUUCUGGAACAGUACUGACGCUGAGGCGCGAAAGCGUGGGGAGCAAACAGGAUUAGAAACCCCUGUAGUCC